rnacentral:rRNA from 1 species
GUCCACGCCGUAAACGAUGAGUGCUAGGUGCUGUGGGUAUUGACCCCCGCGGUGCCGCAGCCAACGCGUUAAGCACUCCGCCUGGGGAGUACGGCCGCAAGGCUAAAACUCAAAGGAAUUGACGGGGGCCCCGCACAAGCGGUGGAGCAUGUGGUUCAAUUCGACGCAACGCGCAGAACCUUACCUGGGUUAAAUCCACUAGAAUCUGGUAGAGAUAUCGGGGUGCCCUUCGGGGAACUAGUGAGAAGGUGCUGCAUGGCUGUCGU